AUUGAACGCUGGCGGCAGGCCUAACACAUGCAAGUCGAGCGGGGUUUUCGGACCUAGCGGCGGACGGGUGAGUAAUGCGUAGGAAGCUACCCGAUAGAGGGGGACACCAGUUGGAAACGACUGUUAAUACCGCAUAAUGUCUACGGACCAAAGUGUGGGACCUUCGGGCCACAUGCUAUCGGAUGUGCCUACGUGGGAUUAGCUAGUUGGUGAGGUAAUGGCACACCAAGGCGACGAUCCCUAGCUGGUUUGAGAGGAUGAUCAGCCACACUGGAACUGAGACACGGUCCAGACUCCUACGGGAGGCAGCAGUGGGGAAUAUUGGACAAUGGGCGCAAGCCUGAUCCAGCCAUGCCGCGUGUGUGAAGAAGGCCUUCGGGUUGUAAAGCACUUUCAGUAAGGAGGAAGCGUUGAGUGUUAAUAGUACUCAGCGUUGACGUACUUACAGAAGAAGCACCGGCUAACUCUGUGCCAGCCGCCGCAGUAAUAC
rnacentral:rRNA from 1 species